UACGUAUGGUGCAAGCGUUGUUCGGAUUUACUGGGCGUAAAGAGUGCGUAGGUGGCGGGGUAAGUUUGAUGUGAAAUCUCCGGGCUCAACCCGGAAAAUGCAUUGAAUACUACUCUGCUGGAGGUUUGGAGGGGGGACUGGAAUUCUUGGUGUAGCAGUGAAAUGCGUAGAUAUCAAGAGGAACACCAGUGGCGAAGGCGAGUCCCUGGACAACACCUGACACUGAGGCACGAAAGCUAGGGGAGCAAACAGG
rnacentral:rRNA from 1 species